GACGAACGCUGGCGGCGUGCCUAAUACAUGCAAGUCGAACGCUGAAGAGAGGAGCUUGCUCUUCUUGGGUGAGUUGCGAACGGGUGAGUAACGCGUAGGUAACCUGCCUGGUAGCGGGGGAUAACUAUUGGAAACGAUAGCUAAUACCGCAUAAAAUGGAUUAUCGCAUGAUAAUCCAGUGAAAGGUGCAAAUGCAUCACUACCAGAUGGACCUGCGUUGUAUUAGCUAGUUGGUGGGGUAACGGCUCACCAAGGCGACGAUGCAUAGCCGACCUGAGAGGGUGAUCGGCCACACUGGGACUGAGACACGGCCCAGACUCCUACGGGAGGCAGCAGUAGGGAAUCUUCGGCAAUGGGCGGAAGUCUGACCGAGCAACGCCGCGUGAGUGAAGAAGGUUUUCGGAUCGUAAAGCUCUGUUGUAAGGGAAGAACGAGUGUGAGAGUGGAAAGUUCACACUGUGCGGGUAUCUUACCAGAAGGCACCGCCUACCUCCGU
rnacentral:rRNA from 1 species